rnacentral:rRNA from 1 species
GGGGAAUAUUGGACAAUGGGCGAAAGCCUGAUCCAGCCAUGCCGCGUGUGUGAAGAAGGUCUUCGGAUUGUAAUGCACUUUUAGUUGGGAGUAAGGGUUGUAGAUUAAUACUCUGCAAUUUUGACGGUACCGAUAGAAUAAGAACCGGCUAACUUCGUUCCAGCAGCCGCGGUAAUACGAAGGGUGCAAGCGUUAAUCGGAAUUACUGGGCGUAAAGCGCGCGUAGGUGGUUCGUUAAGUUGGAUGUGAUACACCCCGGGCUCAACCUGGGAACUGCAUCCAAAACUGGCGAGCUAGAGUACGGUAGAGGGUGGUGGAAUUUCCUGUGUAGCGGUGAAAUGCGUAGAUAUAGGAAGGAACACCAGUGGCGAAGGCGACCACCUGGACUGAUACUGACACUGAGGUGCGAAAGCGUGGGGAGCAAACA